GUGACAUGGGUGCAUUUAGGCAGAGUGGAGGGUGAUCUGUCACGGAAAUGGUAGACCCUGGUCCUUUCCCUUGAACAUCUCAGGUUGAACACUGGGGCGGUGCUUCAUUAUGAGCCAUUAAGUGGAUUCUCAUGAGUGAGUUUCUGUUGGCCUUAUAGACAAUGGGGUUUUAAUCAUGUUUAUCUAGGCUAAGAGAGGACAAGAGAACCAUUUGUGUACUUUCAAAGAAUCAGGGCCCCAUGGCUGAGUGCUGCUGGGGACGUAGAGGAGCAGCUAAGAGAGCCCAGAGGAUGAUCACGGAACUGGGACAGGGAGCGCCCAAAACCAUGUGAGAGGCCAUGGGUGGGGGGUGACUGAGAAACAAGCUACUAACCACCUUGAAAUACAUGAAGGGUAAGAAGAAACUCCCACAGGACUCUCAAAUCAGAAUGUAAAGGUAAUGCAGGGAGGGGAAUGGACGCAGGAGCUGGAGGAGUAUAGAAUUGUUACAAAGCAACCGUGAAGAUGAAGACUUUGGAAAGGAAGGACACAUUGGAACUAGCCUCACACAGGUGUUAGACUAGUCGUGGGAACUUCAGACCCACUACAGUGCUGCAUGCUUCUGGAUAGCAGGUCUUCUUGCUAAUUUAAAAUAGCCCCUGGCUCUCUCACCAGAUUGGCCACAACCUCCCAGCAGACCCCCUGGCCUCCCUGUGCUGGCCCCAACUACACUCUCAUGCUCCUUUCCCACUUCUCCCACCUCAUCUUGCAGAUUCCCUCCUCCAUAGCCUCUUUCUGGAUCUCUCCCACGGAUGUCUCAUCCUUCAAGGCUCACCUAACGUGCUACCUCCUCCAGGAAGCCUUUCCUGAUCCAUGCCACCAGAUGGUACAUGCUCCCUGCGGGAACCCAUAUAGCACAUUGUGCCUCUUUAUGGCACUUUCACUUCCUCCUGCAUUCUAACAAAUUGUGUGCUUGUCUGAGCUCUCACCCCCACCUCUCCUUAGAAAACUUCAAGGGCAGAGACCUGAUCCUUUCAUUUGUGUAUUCACAGUGCCAGGGCAGGAACCAGUGUGCCAUAGACACUCAAUAAAUGUUAAAUUGCAUUUCAGCCAAUGCAUACCUUGGACAAAGUUUCUGUGUUCCUUUAGAGGUUAUGACCGAGACUCGGGCUUAAACACUUGCCUCUGUCACUAGCCAGGUGAUCUAGGGUAACUUAAUUCAUCUCUGCACCUAGGUUUUCUCAUCUGUAAAAUGAGCACAACAGGACCUACCUCCAAAGGACACUGUGGUAGUCUUCAUAAAGCCCUUAGUAGAUUGUCUGGACACACUGUGAAUGCUCAGUAGAUGUAAGACAGGGUUAGCAAUGUGCAGUAUAAGGGACAUAAUUUCCUUUCGAUUGCCAAGAGUGCAGUGAUUCAUAUGCUCCUUUUCUACCUGGCAGUCUUUAUCUUCUGUAAAGCACAUCUUUGCACAAAGCAGCUUCAUAUCAUUUCAAUGCUGUUAGAUAUCUGGGCGCCAUAUACACAGGAAUGCUAGUAGGCAGUUUGUUAACUAGGAAUCAAAUAUACCAAUCAAAGAGAUUUUCCUCAAAGUGAUUUGCCAAUUCAUCCAUCCAUCAAGCCUGUGCCAUUACAAGCUGCGUGAGUCCUCCAAGGCCUGCGAAAAUGAAAAUGAACAAAACCAAACCCCUGUUCCCAUGUUGAUCACAGCCUCCCCGGGCAAAUAUAGCAAAGACCUAGAUAGAACUAUAAAAAGAGGCUGCGAGAGUCCAAAGAGGAGAGUGGCCGCCCCUGUGCAUGGUGAGGAGAGGUUGGGGAAGUGGGAGCGCCAGCAGGCCUCAUGGAAGAGGGGGUGUGCAGCUGGACCCUGCCAGGUGAGUAGGAAGAAGUUUGUCAGAGAGAGGAGGUAGAAGCAUCUCCAAAAACAGGAAGCAGCAAGUGCAAAGAGACAGAGUCCUUGAGUCCACAUUCGGCAAAUGCUGAGGUUGGUGGCCCUAAAAGGCCCAGAAAAUCAAUCCACAUUCUUCUAAUACUGAUGUGGAUUUUAUUUAAAAUAGAAACACUUCCACCAAAUUAGUUAUGAAUCCCAGAAGAGAUUAUCUUAUUGCUAAAAUAAAUGUUCUUUUCUUAUUUCUUCCAAAAUGAUUUGAUGGUUAUUUUUCUGAAGCAUAUUUCUGAUUUCUCUUGAAAACAAGUGCCUUCAGAAAGUCCAUGUCAGCCAAGGAGAAACAACUCAAAAGUAGCCCAGGAUCACAACUAUUUAGCCCCACCAAGGAUCAAAUUCUUCAUAUUCUCUAAACUACCCCCCCAGCACAUGGAGUGAUUUCAGCUCUUCAAAGCCAGUAAAGAGAUAAGUUCAUUGAAACUCAAGAUGACAGGCACAGAGCUCAUUAUAUCUGGUUUCAUUUGUUCCUUCAGUUAUUCUCUGAGGACAGUGGACAGUGAAUGCAGCCAGACGUCUCUUUCAGAAGAGCACAAAUGGAGGAGGAAAUUUUGUUCAUAACUUUGCUGGGAGAAUGUUUGGCCAAAUGCAGUGGCCUGAGGCCAGAAAAUGCCAUUUUUUAUCUCCAGUGCAGACAGGCAGAGAGGAGGUGUAAUGGAUUUAGCAAGAUAAAGACUUGGACCCACAGAAAAAGAAACACACACACAUCCACAUGCACACGUGAUCCUCACGGAAAAUUAGACUUCACUUCCACCUCUUGAGGUGGGAAUUGUAGUCUUACUGAAAUUACAGAGACGAAGCUACGGUCAUAUUACACAAAGCUGUAUCUAUCAGUGAAGGGUGGCCUCUUGGGAAUGAACUAUUUAAACAACAAUUGCGUGUCCAGAAUUCAUGAUGUGAGCAGAUUUUUCCUGAAAGAGGCAACUUGGCCUGUUGGGAUCAGAACUGUUGCUUAUUUGAUUGUUUUCCUUUUGGUCUCAGACGCUGGGGUCUCAGUGUCAGCUGGAGACUGAAAACUUCAGCCUGCAGGGAGAGAUGGGACAGAGGUGGCCCUGAGGGCCUCUGAGUCCUGGCUCCAGGUGUCCCAUUCGUCGGCCCUUCCUGUGCUUGGCUAUGCAAGCCAAUCCAUUCUCUGCGAUUGCUUGAAAUUUGUAAAAAAGAAAGAGAAUGAGGCUUUGUCAUCAUUGUGAGCUUGAGUAAAUCAUUUCUCACUUCUAGACCUCGGGUUUCUCACUUGUUAAGAGGGUGGGGGUGGGAGACUAAGCAAAUCCUCAGGUUCUUAAAAUUUGUUGAUUUAAUUGAUCUGGAAAAGGGAUUUUUUCCACCAUUUUGGUUUAGGAAUAUUUUAUGGGGCCCAGGAUGCAGAGGUUCCUUGAGUUCCUCAGUGAAGGACCGCAGUGACUUCAUGGUUGGGGUGGCAGUUAACCUGAGCAGCAAAGACUGCUGGGUAGAGCUAGGCGCUGCUUUUCAGAACCAAAGGCUUCACCUAUUUGAAACUUGUAUUAUGGAGGCAUGUUACAGAGGAAAGAGCACAAGACUUAGAAUAAUUGUCCUAGAUUUGAGUCUAGCCACUAAACUAACUCACUGAGAUUGUGGCCAGGGCACACCCCAAUUUGGGGACUCAGUUUACUUGUGGGUGAAGUGAAUAUGGGAGACAGACUCCCAGGAGGCUCCAUGGUCCAUGCUCCCUGGUGUACCCACCCUUGUGGGAUCCCUUCCCUCCAGUGUGGGUGGCACCUGUGACUUGUUUCUAACCAACAGAAUAUGGCGAUGGUGGUGGACGUCAGUGUCAUGAUAUUAAUAUAUUCCAGCGGACUUGAACACCCAUCUUACUAGCCGACUUUUGCUGUCAACUGUCUCCCUUGCUGGCUUUGAUGGAGUAAGCUGCCAUAGAGAGAGGUCCUGGAGAAGAACUGAGGGUGGCCUCUGGCUGAGGGCCCACAAGAAGCUGAGGCCCUCAGGCCAACAACCCUCAAGGAACUGAAUUCUGUCAACAACCACAUGAUUUUGGAAGCAGAACCUUCCCCGGUCAAGCUGCAGAUAAGAUCCCCAGCCCUGACUGACUCCCGGAUUAAAGCACCGUAAGAGAAUCUAAAACAGAGGAAUCAGCUAAACUGUGCCUGGACUCCUGACCCACAGGAACUGUGAAAUAAUAAAUGUGCUGUUUAAAAGUACGAAGUUUGUGGUAAUUUGUUAUGCAGCAGUAGAUAAGUAACACAACAAAGCAGUUAUAACCUUCUGUACCUGACAUCCUGUGAGCAUGACAAUACUCUUCUUAUGAUACCAGCAUUACACAUGUAACAGAAACCACUCCAUUAUGACAUACACAAACAUAUUGUAAGCUGCUGUUACUAUGCUGGGUUGAGAAUUAUUCAUCUUUCUAGAACUCCUAGGGUACUUGUUCUGUAUUUAGAUUCUCAUUUAAUCAGGACUCAUUUCCAGGCUUCUUCCUGCUGAUUGUAAAUACCAUGCUCACACACACAGGUCCACAUUCACACACAGGUCCACAUUCACACACAAGAUCCACACUCACACACACAGGUCCUGCAUCUCGCUGAAUUUAAUUAAGGAUCAACCUGAAAUAAAAU
rnacentral:lncRNA from 1 species